UACGAACUGUGCAAACGUUGUUCGGAAUCACUGGGCUUAAAGGGCGCGUAGGCGGGCGAGCAAGUUCGGGGUGAAAUCUUUCGGCUCAACCGGAAAAGGGCCUCGGAGACUGCUCGUCUGGAGGGAGGUAGGGGCAGGUGGAACUGCUGGUGGAGCGGUGAAAUGCGUUGAUAUCAGCAGGAACGCCGGUGGCGAAAGCGACCUGCUGGACCUCUUCUGACGCUGAGGCGCGAAAGCUAGGGGAGCAAACGGG
rnacentral:rRNA from 1 species